GCAAGUAGAAAUGGGGAUUCCCUGUCUGCAGGAGCUGUAGCUGGGAUUGUGAUUGGAGUUUUAUUAGGUCUCGCUGGAACUGCUGGUUUAAUUUUCUAUUUUAUGAAAGCAAAAGAGAUGCCAAAAACAAAGUCUAGCGGGAAUCUGCAAAAUAAAGCAACACACAAUGCACAACAACAAGAUUCACACUAUGUAAAUAUGACUAUGAGUAGAACGGACACCCAGAUGGGUCACACCGCUCAACCUGAUGAUGAACCAAUAUAUGAAAACUGAUGAGCAGAUAUCUGUCCAGGUUUGGGACGUAUACACCUGUUUGAGGAUAAUGAGG